rnacentral:rRNA from 1 species
GACGAACGCUGGCGGCGUGCUUAACACAUGCAAGUCGAACGGAAAGGCCCUGCUUUUGUGGGGUGCUCGAGUGGCGAACGGGUGAGUAACGCGUGAGUAACCUGCCCUUGACUUUGGGAUAACUUCAGGAAACUGGGGCUAAUACCGGAUAGGAGCUCCUGCUGCAUGGUGGGGGUUGGAAAGCUUCGGCGGUUGGGGAUGGACUCGCGGCUUAUCAGCUUGUUGGUGGGGUAGUGGCUUACCAAGGCUUUGACGGGUAGCCGGCCUGAGAGGGUGACCGGCCACAUUGGGACUGAGAUACGGCCCAGACUCCUACGGGAGGCAGCAGUGGGGAAUAUUGCACAAUGGGCGGAAGCCUGAUGCAGCAACGCCGCGUGCGGGAUGACGGCCUUCGGGUUGUAACCGCUUUCGCCUGUGACGAAGCGUGAGUGACGGUAAUGGGUAAAGAAGCACCGGCUAACUACGUGCCAGCCGCCGCGGUAA